GGAGCGCAACUUCCCGGUCAGUCUGGGCGGGAGGGAGGCGCGAGCGGAGUGACCUGAGGGGGCUCCGACAGCGACCCGCCGCCCAUCACCACACAUUCCGCCCGUGGCACCGGUGCUGCUCCCCUCCCCUCCGCUCCCUCCUAUCCGCGGCCCCGAGCCUCCCGAGCGCCAUGUCCUUCCGCCAGAGGAGCCCCCACGGCGGCGGCUGCGGCGGCAGCGAGAGCAGCAGCCCACAACACCCAGUUCGUUGGUCUCAAGGAAGGAAACGUGGAGCAGAUGGGAAAUGUAGAAAACAGACUGAUUCAGAUUCGUCCGUUUUUGAUGAUGAAAACAAGUAUGGAUCUUCUGACAACAGGUUGGAUAGUUUUACAACACCAGAAGGUCCUGGGCCCUUUUCAAGAUGUUCAGACUGGGGAUCUGUAGUUGAAGAAGAUGAAAUGAGGACCAACGUUAAUAAAGAAAUUGCAAGAUACAAAAGAAAGCUCUUGAUAAAUGAAUUUGCAAGAGAAAGGAAGUCCUCUUCUGGAAGUUCUGAUUCAAAGGAAUCCACUGUAACAGUAGAUCUUGAGACAGAUGAAGUGGUUCUGAUGAGAAGGCAAAAACAGAUAAAUUAUGGAAAAAACACAAUUGCAUAUGACAGAUACAUUAAAGAAGUUCCAAGGUGUCAUCGAGUACCAGGGGUCCAUCCUAGGACUCCAAAUAAAUUUAAGAAGUAUAGCCGUAGGUCCUGGGACCAGCAGAUCAGACUGUGGAAGGUUGCUUUGCAUUCUUGGGACCCUCCUGCUGAAGAAGGAAGUGACUUACAAGCAAUCACUCCUGUUGAUCUUGGUGAGAUGGAGACAGAAUCCAUAGGAAGUAAUUCUACUGAAUCUCAAGCAAGCUCUCAAGACAAUUAUGAUACCUUUUCUGGCACUCCCACCAAGGUUAGACAUGUUGACUAUCAGGUGGAAGGCGAAUUUGACUUGGAGGCCUGUUUGAAUGAGCCACUUAAAGACUUCAGUACCGUGAGCUAAAUGGUGCUCUGUGCAGGCUGUUUUAAGGGAAACAUUCUUUUAAAAAAUUGUGGAAUGUUAGCCUGAUAUUCUCAAACGGGAUGUUGUUCCCUACUUGUCAAUAGUGCAGAAGCUUAAGCAAGUUAAAGGGCUGUUCCCUAAUUUGUGGUCUGUCUACGUAUUUUCUGGACCAAAUUUGUGUAAAGAAUAGAACUUACGUUGUGUAACUUCCUGUUUGACUUCUAAUUUAUGUAUAUCAGAUGGUUUUACAAGACUGCUUUUUAUAAUUAUUCAGAAGAUGGAACUAGUCAUAGAAAAAACAGCCAAAGGCAAUGCAGCUACCCUCCAACAUAGUUCUGUAAAACUUCAGGUUGUCAUUCAUUCUUUAGCUCAUUAUUGAUCUAGACUAGAUACUUGAACUACUGAUCUAGAAGGAGGGCUCUGUCCUUGUUUCCAGAAUCACCCAACCUCUAACUUUCCCUUUGAUUUCCCUUAAUUGGCAAAGAUAUUUGUGUAAGUGCUUUUUCCAUAUUGCAAGGUUUUCCUUUUGUCUGAUUCAUUUAAAGUAAAUUCCUUUCAUUUGCAAAAGCUUAUUUUGUAAUGGUGGGAAAGGACACACUAUAAGUUAAAUAGGGUUUCAGUAUUAAACAAAACUGAAGUGUGGCAGUGCUGCAUUAAGAAGCUGUAGCCUAAAUACCUGUAAAUAGUCAUGGAUAGACAUAACUUAUCUGGAGAAAAUAAACAAUAUCUCUAGGGAAAGUGAUUGAUUUGUAUUCACUGUUUUUAAUGUAAAACUGUUGUAAAUGAUAACUUUGUACAGACAUUCUACUGAAAGCAGUUAAUGAUUCUAUUGCUUUUGUAUGGGACAGUUGCUAAAAAUAAAAAUACAUUCAAUAUU